UUGCCUAAGGAAAAUAUGAAUUGUACAGAUUUCUACAGUAGACUUUUUUCUCCCCCUUGCUUUACAGGUGUUUCAUCUUUUCGGUAAAAGCCAUCAGUUCUCUUCAGGGAAUUCCAGCGAGCUGAGUAUACCACAAAACGCCCAGGAAGACCCUGAUGCCAUCAGGUCUGGAAUGGGUACUGCCAUCAUAGUACUUGAAUGCUCAGGUGCUCUGUCUCAGAUGUUCCCAAGUCCACAAAGGAAAAGCACCUACCUUCCCGAUCCUUCUGGCCAUGGAAGCAGAUCUGGGCACAAGAUCUUCUGAAGUUUUAUCUUCUGGUUUCUGAGACUGCUACAGACUGCUUAAGACAAGCAUGGUUAUGGGACAUGCCCUGAUGCUUUCCUUUUCUUUUUCCCUUAUGUCUACGUUUGAAGAUGUUACUAGAUGUGGCAGUUAGAAGUUUUGUCAACAUUUAGCUUCCCAGAUCUUACCUCGCAUAGAAACAAAAUGAAAAUAUAUAUUUGCUUUUAGAUUAACUACAGAUUCAACAAGGGCUGAAACUAAAUAAUUGGAGACUCAACUGUGAAGCAGGUGAUGUGAUAUGAGCAAAAAAGGCUUCACAUAGAAACAGACGUGAGAAUUCAGUCUAGCAGCAAUUGAGCAAAUAACAAUUACGCAUACAAUCCAUAUAUUUUAUGCUUUAAUACCAGUGCUGUUCUUGCCAAUGUCAACGCUCAAGUUGUCUGUGACUUAAUUUUAGGGAAAAGUUCUCUGGAAUAGGUAAACAGCUAAAAGUCUCCGACUGUAAAUACAAACAAUUUAACAAACAUAUCAAAUACCCUUCACAAUCCAUGCAAAUUGUAGGACUGUGAUGCUCAAAGGUUUGGUUAAAGUGAACUAGCUGUGGGCUAAUUGGCUGAGAUAAUGAGGGGAUCCUUUUGACCCUUUCUUUGCAAGGGAAUUGGGCAAGGGAAACCCUCAGCAAAAGUAAAUGGUUGUUCCAGCUUAUCACGGCACUUCCAAGUGAAAAGGAAGCCAUCACCUACCGUAUGAUUUCAUUAUCAACAACUUCAGAAUAUGUAGUGUUGACAUCUACAAUUAGAAAAGCUAGAGUUGAAUGAGAUUUGAUCAGAUCUUGUGUUGCCAUAGGGCAAUCCUAAUUCUUGUUUCUUUGUGCCAUCCACUGUAAUAUGAUGUUGUAAAUACAUGACCAUUUUUAAUUAAAUGCUCUCCUGUACCUAUCAGUUAAUCUGCAUAGGCUUCUAGGUGUUAUGCAGAAUUAAUUACUU
rnacentral:lncRNA from 1 species